rnacentral:rRNA from 1 species
AUGUCGGUUAAGUCCCGCAACGAGCGCAACCCUUGUCCUUAGUUGCCACCAUUCAGUUGGGCACUCUAAGGAGACUGCCGGUGUUAAACCGGAGGAAGGUGGGGAUGACGUCAAGUCCUCAUGGCCCUUAUAUCCAGGGCUACACACGUGCUACAAUGGCCGGUACAAAGGGUCGCCAACCCGCGAGGGGGAGCCAAUCCCAUAAAGCCAUUCGUAGUCCGGAUCGCAGUCUGCAACUCGACUGCGUGAAGUCGGAAUCGCUAGUAAUCGUGGAUCAGAAUGUCACGGUGAAUACGUUCCCGGGUCUU